UGUAAUAUUGUGUUUAAUUAAAAAUAUUAAAUAGGCUGAACUCAAUUUUUAUCAAUUUGUUAUUAGAACUCAAUUUAAAUAAGUUACCAGUACUUUUUAUGCAAAAAUGCUGAUAAACUCGAUUAAUUUGAGUUGUCCUAACUUAGAAAAACUAAGUAAGCUGGAAGUUUUGCUUCUCAGGGCGGAAGGAUGAAAGAUGUGUUUUGAAAAUGCCACGUGACUACCGUUCUCCUCCCUCCCGGAUCAGUCCGCAUGUUCAUGGCGCCAGCAUUUGUUAUGGAAUAUAUUGAGCAAACCUGGAGAUAUUAUUGUUGUCAUUGCUGUGGAUCUUUACUGACUUGGGUCGGGACCAGCACUCCUGCUGUUGGACAGAAAGACAUCAACUUGAGAUAUGACUCCAC